rnacentral:rRNA from 1 species
UACGAAGGGGGCAAGCGUUGUUCGGAUUUACUGGGCGUAAAGCGCGCGUAGGCGGAUCGCUAAGUCAGGGGUGAAAUCCCGAGGCUCAACCUCGGAACUGCCUUUGAUACUGACGAUCUGGAGUUCGGGAGAGGGAUGCGGAAUUCCAGGUGUAGCGGUGAAAUGCGUAGAUAUCUGGAGGAACACCGGUGGCGAAGGCGGCAUCCUGGACCGAUACUGACGCUGAGGAGCGAAAGCCAGGGGAGCAAACGGG